rnacentral:lncRNA from 1 species
GGUUAAGCCAGUGUGCACAGAACUACAGUAAGUGAUGCAAGGUUAACUACUUCAACCUUAACACUAACAAAGCCAGUCCUACAUUGUACGACAUAAGCCUGUAAUGUUUUAACGACAUUGAGGUGAGCUUGUUCCAGACAGAGAGCCACUGGAAGUGAGGACUUUUAGGACAGGAGAACUAAAUGAAACAGACUUCCCAACAGUUACCUAGUGAAGAGCUGCAAAAUAGCAAGUCUGUUCGUAUUCUGUGGGGCAGCGCGCAGUAAUCGGUAAUAAUACAUUCUGUUUGUUUGUGCCACACAGACACUUUUACUGGCUGGUGCUGUCCCAGGAAAGGUGUCCUGAAAGAGCUGUCUACAAGAUGAGCUACUGCCUCUCUCCCUGUGUGGACUGCAUUGGAAUGGGAUCAGGGAAAAAAAAUAGUACUGAUACAGUGGCGAGAGCCAGGAAACAAUGGCCAGCAUUUCUGGGCCCGACACAUCCCAGAAGCCCCUG